rnacentral:rRNA from 1 species
UGGGGAAUAUUGCACAAUGGGGGAAACCCUGAUGCAGCGACGCCGCGUGAGUGAAGAAGUAAUUCGUUACGUAAAGCUCUAUCAGCAGGGAAGAGAAUGACGGUACCUGAGUAAGAAGCCCCGGCUAACUACGUGCCAGCAGCCGCGGUAAUACGUAGGGGGCAAGCGUUAUCCGGAUUUACUGGGUGUAAAGGGAGCGUAGACGGCAGAGAAAGUCUGAAGUGAAAGCCCGCGGCUCAACCGCGGAACUGCUUUGGAAACUUUUCGGCUAGAGUACCGGAGAGGUAAGCGGAAUUCCUAGUGUAGCGGUGAAAUGCGUAGAUAUUAGGAGGAACACCAGUGGCGAAGGCGGCUUACUGGACGGUAACUGACGUUGAGGCUCGAAAGCGUGGGGAGCAAACAGG